ensembl:lncRNA
CCUUUGGAUGCUGUCCAGUGCAGCCUUCACUCCACCUAAACUUGAUCCAUCCUUCCUCUUGAGUGGGGGGGAACCAGCUCAGAAUUCAUCCCUUUAAAACAAAUUUCAAUAAAUAGUUAUAGCUGUAUAUUAACAUUGAAUGAUAACUUGAUUAACUGCAAUAAAUGAUCUCAUAAGCACAGACCAGUGUUUCUCAAAUUGGGGUGAUAAGAACCCUGGGGGUUUGUGGAUAUAUUCUCACGAUCUCCAAGUUCUAUAUAAAUUAUUUAAAAUGUUAUAUAAAAUAUUAUAUUUUUGACAAAGCUAUUUUGAAAUUGGAAACCAUGUUUACAUUUCAAAUAACUUAAGUCAGUGUUACUCAAAACAUUUACUCUUUAGGAUCUCAAAAAAACCUGUUCCUUUAAAAGGUGCUGCAUCCUGACAGAUUACUUCAGUUUGAGAAACAAGAAGGCUCAGGACUAUUCAUAUAUUACCUCCAGUCAGUCAGACAAAUAUCUUUAGGCACUGGCUGGGGGAAACAAGCUGUGAGGAAACAUGGAUAUUAAUUAAAAUGGGCAGUGAGAGAAGCCCAGCUCAUUAAUAUAAUUCUUCUUGCUCUUGCUGGGAUACAUGAACAUGCACAAAAAAAAGUUUUCAAAUUUGAUGUUAAUAUUUUUUCAGUUGGAUCUUUGUUCUUUUUACACCAGAGAGGCUAAUCUUUUUAGCUCACAAAAGUAUUUGUUGAAAAAGGUGAAAGGGAAGAGGGGAAGGUCAUGGUCUUAUAAAACAUAUUUCUCUAUUACCCUCUUGCCAAACAGGAUCCACAAAUAUCUCAAACUAAAAAGACACUGCUACUCUCAUCUGUUCUUGGGCAGAGAGAGAAUAAGAAGCAUACAAAGUUCUAACAUAUCAGAUUUAUACUCCCAAUCCCUAGAGCUUGAAAAACUCAAGCUUAAAACAAUCAACAAUUUGCCAGCCUGGAUAGAACCAAACACAAUGGCCAGGUGUUAUUUCUAAUCACUUUCCGUGCAUUCAAAAAAGGUAAAAACCAAAUGACAUUAAAAUAAACAUUAUACUACCCAGGUGGCUGUAAUAGUAAUCAUGUCCUGGACCAAAGACAAAAGUUAACCUACCUCAAGUUCACCCUAUCAACUUCAAACCCUAGUGUGCUCAUUUUUUAAAACUCUAAAACAUAUAAUUCACACAAGACAGUACUUGAUUAUUAUGUUCUACAGUUAUUUCAAGUGUGCUUAUAUUAGCUUUUUUAACAAUAUAACCAUAUUAGGGAUGAGAUUAUAUAGGACUAUAGCAUUUCUAUCCCUCACUUCAAUACAGCCUAGCGUAGGGCCAGAUACACAAUAUUAAUUUUGUAAUUUUGUUAACUCAUAUGGUGAUAUAUAAAUUACAGAUGAGGUAGAAACAUGGAAGGACCCUCCAAUUUUUGUAUGGGUAGCAUCUAAGAGAAAGAAAAUGGAACAGGAAAAAGAUUACUUAAUAGCUACAAAGUAGUACUUACAGCAUUCUAAAGAGCCAGAGACUCUUCUUACAGCUGUCCAAGGAGCUAGUAGUGCAAACUGCACCCUGAGCUGGGCCGAUCUUUUGACAUCCUUCUCAGACAACAGUAUCCUUUUUCAGUGACUAGAAAGAACUGCUGUGGUGAUAAUUAGUUACUGGCUUCAGCAGUUCCAUAUUAAAUACUUCUCUGCCAAACACCUUGUACACUAGAGGCUGAGAUAUUAUUCAUUGUAUUCAUUUUCACUAUUGAAAUUUAUAUCCAAAAGACUGAUUAGACCUUGGCUUAUUUUUCUUUUCAUAUAAAAUGGGAAAACUGGUUCCAUUGUUUCUAAGUCCUCACUUCAGUGUGGUGCUUUAGGUAACUUUAAAAAUAGCAGAAUUAAACAGGGUACAUAAAAUGUAAUAGAUUAAUCAAACAAAGUGAUCUAUGGUUUUCAAAAGCACCUCAGCAUGUUCUCUCAUUUUAUCCUUUUACAGCAAUCUUCUUGAAAUAAGUAUGGCCUAGUUGGAACUCCAGAUGAAGAAAUUUAAUGAUUAGGAAGUUUAGAUAGUUUUUCCUAGAAGUGAAUACUGGUAAAGCCCAAACAAGAAGUGGUUUGAAAAUGGUGGUAGAGCCCGAAGAUACUGGUCUUAAGAGUUCCACUCUAGAACUCCUUUAGUAAUAUAUUAUAAUAUCAAAGUCACAGUGGUCUAUCCACAGACUCACCACCCUUAGUAAAAUGAGAGACACUGGUCAUCAGGUACAUGAUAUAAAUGGGUUUACCGACUUCAAAAUUUCAAUGACCAGGUUAUCAAUUCCACCCUGCAAUCCAGAUGUCUUUCUUAAAAAAUAAAAAAUAAAAACUUUUUGGUUGUAUCCUGGCAAUUGGCACUAUACAAUGGCAAUAUACAAAAGGAAAGGAGAGACAUAGCCAGGCAAUCUGCUUUGAAAGGAAGAAUGCACAGAUAGUGAUAACCUUCCUUCCUGGGAAGUCAAUUUUCAAAUGAUACUUAUAUAUAAUGAAAACCCCAAAUAAAGGGUAGCAAUCCAGUUCCCUUGGGUCUGACUUGCCUUGAGCAUUUUGCCUAGUAAAGCAGUAACAGAGGGGAUCAGGAAUGGUUCUGUCCCCAGAAUAUGACAAUAAUCGGAACUGGGAUCAUUAACAAAUGCAGGAAAAGGAGUAAAGGCCCAGUCACCUAGUUCUGGCCUGCUUUUGGUAGUCCAUACUGCACAAAUAUAACAUCAAAAUGGUAGAGAGAUCUUGGGCUGAUGGGCUUAAAAAUGGGACAAUCAAUACUGUGUUAAUAACACAGAAGGGGCUGUGGUGGUAAGCACUACUCAGAAGUAAUGCAAAGAAGGAAGUGGAAGAGUCCGUGCCUGAUGGGUGGGACCAAGGGAAGUGCAACAGGGAAUUAUAGAAAUUCAAAGCGGGCAAAACAAUGACAUCUGGGACUGUUAACAUUGUAAAUCCAAGAGGAAGGAGUUUUGCUCAGUCAACAUUUCCCAGCAACAAUGCAAAAGGGGCAGGGCAGGGGUGGGAGGGGUGAGGGAGCAUAAUCUUAUCUGGAUGGAUGGACACCUGAAAUUGUGAAUAUUAAAAAUCCAUAAGAAGGGUCCAAGGGCAGACAAGGGGUUUGAAGAGGGAAGAUAAGGGAAAGGCCAUGAUUACUUGGGAUUUGAUACACUGGAGCCAGCGCAAAAGGAGUGGGAAUGUGGGUCGCCCUUUGAUGGACAAGUUCACAGCAUAGUGCAGUGUUUAUACUUUAUUAUACCAUGAGAAAUUGGAGCUGGGAGUGCUUGCCUAACAAGACCAGGGAGGAAAAACCCAUUGCCAACUGCCAUUGUGCUCAUCAGCAGUCCCAGUAAAAGUUUUGUGUCAUCAGCAGCCCAUGAAGUAAUGCAAAGGGGGUAUGCGGGAAUGAUGUCCUACUCUAAUAGAAGGGUGUAUGGAUAACUGCAAAUAUUCACACCCAGAGUCAAAAAAAGAAGCCUUAAGUCAGUACUCCUGAUCCAUAGUGAGGGUACAGGGAUCUUAUCUAAAGAUCAUACACUUGAUGUAUUAUUGGUGCAUAUUAAUUGUCCAAGAGCUGAGGUCAUGAUAGCUGGCUGAGGGAGUAUUUCAAAGUAUACUGAUAAAGACAAGAAUUUCUAUUACGUAUACUAACAGUAAGGGAUCUUGGCAGGGAAACAGUAUCCCUUGCACUAUUACAAAGGAGAUACAAUAGUCCUAGAAGUAAUAGGGUUAUGGGAAAGUGCAACUCUGCACAUUAAUUGUCCAAAUGGAAAGGUCUUAGCAAUGGGCAAACUUACUGGAAGGCAUAGGAAGUGAGGGGGAGGGUCCUUGUCUCGUGCACAAGAGUGUACAUUCACAAGCUAAGGAAAGGGAAGGCAACAGGAUAAGAUGAACUAAGUUGCAAUUAUGUAAAUUAAUGUUGAAGGGACAUGGUGUGGUCAAUUAAAAUCAUAUACCUUGUACAAAUAUAAGAAUCUUAAAGGAAGUAUGAAGCCCCUAUAAUGUAAUUGUCAUUACACAUAUUUGAGAAAGGGGCCUUAAGUGGACAGUACCCCAUGCAGUAAAGCAAAGGGGAUGAAAAGAGUCAGGGAGACAAGUUAACUCAGAAGACCAUAGUGUAAUUACACAUAGUCAUAGUCCCAGAACAAGGGCUUUAAGGUGGUAAGUUAACCUGUGCUUCAAUAAGUGAAAGGGCCCUGAUCUAAAAAGCACAGCUGUGGACAACUGAGAAUGUGUACAAGACAACUAAGAUUGUGCACAUUAACUGCAAUAGUGUGUAAGAUCUUGAAUAGUAGGCAUCUCCUGCUGAAAUAUAAAUAGAAUGGGGAGGGUCCUUACCUGAGGUACAGGUACAGGAGCAAACAUUAAGUACACACAUUAACAGUCCAAGACAGUGAAUCUUAGCUAGUCAGAAGUCCCUGCAGUAAUGUAAAUGGGGCAAGGAUAUGGGAUCCUAGUCUAACAUUAGGGAGCAUGGACUACUGAAAUUAUGCACAUUUAAACUGUACGGAAGAAGCAGCCAGUUGAUUAGGACCCCUGAUGCAAAGGAGGUGGAAUGGGAUGGGUUCUUAGUAUAAUUCUGCACAUUAACUGUCCAAAAGAAAAACUAGUCAGUAGUCCCUGCUUUAAUACUAAAAAUUCAAUAUGUUAGUUUGUCAUGAGGGCACAUGCACAUUGAGUCCCAAGAGAAAGAGUUUGGGUCACUAACAUCCCCUGAUAUAACGCAAAAAGGGAGGAAUAUUAAUUAAAAUAGAAGGGCCUUAAACACUGGAAUUUUGCAUGUAAAUAUUCCCAGAAAAAAGUAAUGGCAGUAAUUCAUAUAAAACAGACUACAAGGGACUGAAGUGAAAGAAUAUUUUCGUGGUGAAUUGUCGUGGUUCACUUUAUUCUAGUACAAAGGUCUUGAGUAAAGGACAUCCACCACUGAAUACAAGGGAAAUGAGUGGAGUCUACACUGCAGAGGAAGAGGAACAAAUGCCACUGCACAUUAAAAAGUGCAAAAAGAGGGGCCUUAGUGUUCGGGACCCUAAGGUGUAAUGUGAGAGGAUAAGAUGCACCACAAUAGUCAGUACCUUCUGUGGUAAGCAAAGGAAGUAGAAAGGGAAUGGAAACUAGGCUAACAGAAGGGACCAUAGCUACAGUUAAGCACCCUUCCAUGUAAUGCGAAGGAACUGGAAGUAGGAGGGAACAGGAUCCUAGACAACAGAAGGGAACACAGCAGCAAUUAUCACCUUGACAGUCCCAAAUGCCUUCACAUACAAUGUAAAGGAAGUCCUGGGAUCCUAAACUAACAAAAGGGACCACAUCUGCAUUUAGGCACAUUCACAGGUUCCAAGUACCUUCUGUGGUAAUAUAAACAAAACUGUGGAGAGCAUGGACUCCAGACUAAGAGAAGGGACCACAGUUGCAAUUAAGCAGUUCUACAGUCCCAAUACACUCCCAGGUAAUGUUAAGAGUUAGAGGGCAUGGGACCCUAGGUUAACAAAAUGGACCACAGUUGCAUUUAAGCACCUUUCUGUCCCAAAUACCAACAAGUAACACAAGUGAGUAGAGAGGGGUGAGAUCCUAGGACUGUAGCUGCAUUUAAGCACAUUAACAGUCCCUUGUACCCUCUUUUAUAAUGCAAAUUGAGUAGAAGAGCAUGGGAAUCUAGACCAACGAAUGAGAUUGGAUAAGCAAGAAGAGUCCCAUUAACAGUCCCAAGUACCCCCUGCAGUGAUAAAAAGGCAGUUAGGUAGGAAUGGACUUUGAACUUAACAUAAGGGACUUUACCUGCAUUUAAACACAUUGGGAUUCCCUGGUGGCUCAGAUGGUAAAGUCUGCCUGUAAUACAGGAGACCUGGGUUUGAUCCCUGAGUCAGGAAGAUCCCCUGGAGAAGGAAAUGGCAACCAAGUCCAGUAUUCUUGCCUGGAAAAUCCCAUGGAGGGAGGAGCCCGGCCAACUACAGCCCAUGAGUCGCAGAGUAGGACACGACUGAGCAACUUCACUUUCACUUUCAAACACAUUGAAAGUCCCUUGUAGCCUCUGGGGUGAUGCAAACGGAGUCAGGUGGGAAUGGGAUCCUAGGUUAACGUAAGGGCUUGUAGCUGCAUUUAAGCAAGUUAAUAGACCCUUGUACCCUCUUUUAUAAUGCAAAUUGAGUAGGAAGGCAUAGGAAUCUAGAUCAACAGAUGAGACUGUAUAGGCAAGUAAAUGCAUUAACAGUCCUUAAGUACCCUCUGCAGUCAUGAAAAGGAAGUUAGGUGGGAAUAGGAUCCUAGGUUAACAUAAGGGACUACAGCUGCAUUUAAGCACAUUAAAAGUCCCUUGUACAGUCGUGGUAAUGUAAAUCUAGUAGGAGAGAAUGGGAUCCUAGACUAAGAGAGACUGUAAGUGCAAUAAAGCUCACUAUCAGUCUCAAUUACCAUCUGUAGUCCUGAAAAAAGGAGUUAUGCAGGAAUGGAUUUCGAUGUUAAGGCACUAUACCUGCAUUUAAACACAUCAACAGUCCCUUGUAGCCUCUUUGACAAGUGAGUUAGGUGGGGAUGGGAUCCUAGGUAACAUAAACGACUGCAAGCAGCAUUUAAGCACAUUAGCAGUCCCUUGUAUCCCCUUCGAUACAGUAGAGGGAAUUAAAGGGGGAGAGAGAAUCUUAGACUAAAACAUGGGACUGUAACUGCCUUUAUGUACAAUAACAGUCACUUGUACACUUUGGGAUAAUGCAAAUGGAGUAGGAAGGAUGGAGAUCUAGACUAAAAGAAGGGACAGUAGUGCAAUUAAGCCCAUUAAAAAGUCCUAUGUAUGCUCUGAAGUAAUACAAAGGAAGUUAGGUAGAAAUAGGAUCCUGAUUAUCAUAAGGGACUAUAGCUCGAUUUAAGUACAUUAACCAUCCCUUCUAUCCUCCCUGAUAUGCAAAUCAAGAAGGAAGAGAAUGGAUCCUAGAUGAGAUAAGGGAAUGUAGCUGCAGUGAAUCACAUUAAUAGUUCGAAGUAUCCUCCAAAAUCAUGCAAAGGGACUUAGUUGGGGGUGGGAUCCUAGGUUAACAUAAGGGACUGUAAUUGCAUUUUAAAACAUUAGCAGGCACUUGUACAGUCACUGGUAAUGCAAAGGGCGUUAGGUGGGAAUAGGAUCCUGGGUUUUAAAAAGGAGGCGGAGGAAAAAGAACUGUAUGGGCACAUUAACAGUCCAUUGUAUCCUCUGUGGUAAUGUAAAUCUUUAGGAGAUGGGAAUCUAAACAAAGGGAAGGACCAAUGGUAGUUCAUUAACAAGUUCUAUGUAGGCUCUGCAGUAAUUAAAAGGAAGAUAUUAAUAGUUGGGAAUGGGAUCCUAGGUUACCAUAAGGGAUGUAGUGGUAUUUAAGGCCAUGAACAGCCCCAAGCAUCCUCUGCAAUCCUGCAAAGAGCCUUAGUUGAGGAUAAGAUCCUAAGUUAAUAUAAGGGACUGUAGCAGCAUUUUAGCAUAUUAAGAGUCCAUUAUACCCUCUUUGGUAAUGCAAAUCGAGGGUGGCCUGGGAAUCUAGACUAACAGAAGGAAGGGCAGUGCAAAUAAGCCCAUUAACAAGUCCAUGUAGGCUCUACAUUAAUGAAAACAGAGUUAGGUGGGAAUAGGAUAUUAGAUUAAUAUAAGAAACUGCUGUUCCAUUUAAUCACCUUUAACAGUCCCUUGUACAAUUUGUGAAGAAAGCUGAGUACCUAAAAACUGAUGCUUUUAAACUGUGGUGUUGGAAAAGACUCUUGAGAGUCCCUUGGACUGCAAGAUCCAACCAGUCCAUCCUAAAGGAGAUCAGUCCUGGGUGUUCAUUGGAAGGACUGAUGCUGAAGCUGAAACUCCAAUACUUUGGCCACCUCAUGCGAAGAGUUGACUCAUUGGAAAAGACCCUGAUGCUGGGAGGGAUUGGGGGCAGGAGGAGAAGGGGACGACAGAGGAUGAGAUGGCUGGAUGGCAUCACCGACUAAAUGGACAUGAGUUUGCAUGAACUCCAGGAGUUGGUGAUGGACAGCGAGGCCUGGCAUGCUGUGAUUCAUGGGGUCACAAAGAGUUGGACACAACUGAGUGACAGAACUGAACUAAACUGUACAAUUUGUGGUACUGCAAAUCGUGUGAGAGGGCAUAAGAAUGUACAAUAACAGAAGGGAAUGCAGCUGCAGUAUACCUCAUUAACAGUCCCAAAUACCCUCUGUAGGCAGGAAAGGGAGUUAGGUGGAAAUGAGAUCUUAGGUUACCUGAGGGACUGUAGGUCCUUUUAAGCAUAUCAACAGUCCAUUGUACUCACUGUGGUAAGGCAAAUCAAGUAUGAGGGCAUGGGAAUCGGGACUAACAGAAGGGGCUAUCGCUCUAAUUGAGCCCUUGAACUGUCCCAAGUCCUCUCUACAAUCAUGUCAAGGGGAUGAGGUGAGAACAGGAUUUUAGAUAAAUGUAAGACUCUGUAGCUCCAUUUAAGCACAUUAACAGUUUCUUGUAGCAUCUUCAGUAAUGCAAAUCAAGUAAAAGUAAAAAAUUUCAGAAUAGCAGAGGGGACUGUGGCCCAUUAAGAGUUUCUUGUACAGUCAGUAGUAAUACAAAUCAUGUAGGAGUGGAUGGGAAUCUAGACUAACAGAAGGAACUGUAACUGUAGUAAAGCCCAUUAACAGUCCCAAGUACUUUCUGCAGUCAUUAAAAGCGAGUUGGAUGGGAUAGGGUCCGAGGUAAACAUAAGGGACUGUAAUUGCUUUUAAGCACAGUACCAGUCCCUUCUACUUUCUGUGGUAGUGCAAGGGAGUCACUGACUGUUGGGGAACGGGGUUAUAGGCAAACGUAACAGACUGGCUGGAUUUAAGCACAGUAACAGUCUCUUGUGCACUCUGGGGUAAUGUAAGUUGAGUAGGAGAGAUGGGAUUCUAGACUUAACAAAAAGGACAGCAGUGCAUUUAAGCCCAUUAGCAAGUCCCUGUAGGCUCUGCAAUAAUGAAAACAGAGUUAGGUGGGAAUGGGAUCCUAGAUUAAUAUAGAGGACUAUAGUUCUAUUUAAGCACAUUAACAGUCCCAGUUACUUUAUGUGGUAAUACAAACCCAUUAAGAAUGUAAACAAUUCUAGAUUAACAAAAGGGACUGUGGCUACAGUAAAGCUCAUUAACAGUUCCAAGUACCCUCUGCAGUCAUUAAAAGGGAGUUAGGUGGGAAUAGAGUCUUAGGUAACAUAAGAGGCUGUGGCUGCAGUAAAGCACAUUAACAGUCCCUUAUACCCUCUUUUAUAAUGCAAAUUAGUCAGAGAGCAUGGGAAAGUAGACCAACAGAUGAGACUGUAUAGAUAGGUAAGUGCAUUACCAGUCCCAAAUAUCCUCUGCAGUCAUGAAAAAGUAGUUAGCUGGGGACAGAAUCCUAGGUUAUCAUAAGACUGUAGCUGCUUUUAAGCACAUUAACAGUCUAUGAACACUCUGUGUUAAUGCAAAUCAUGUAGGAGUGGAUGGAAAUCUAGACUAACAGAAGGAACUGUUAGGGACUUUUAAGCACAGUAGCAGUCCCAAGUAAUCUGCAGUCAUGAAAAGGGAGUUAGAUGGGGGAUGGGAUCCUAGGUCAUUGCUUUUAGGCACAUUAACAGUCCCUUAUAUCUCCCUUGCUAAUGCAAAUUGAGUAGGAGGGCAUGGGAAUCUCAACUAACAGAAGGGACAGUAGCUCUCAUUGAGGCCAUUAACUAUUCCAAGUAACCUCCGCAGUCAUGCAACAAGAUUUAAAUGGGAAUGGGAUCAUAGGUAAACCUAAGAGACUAUAGAUGCAUUUAACCAUGUUAAGUCUUUACACUCCAGGGUAAUACAAAUCGAGUAGGAGGGAUAGGCUCCUAGACUAAGAAGUGACAGCAGUGCAAUUAAGCAUUUUGACAAGUCCCAUAUAGGCUCCGGAGAAGGCAAUGGCAACCCACUCCAGUACUCUUGCCUGGAAAAUCCCAUGGACGGAGGAGCCUGGUAGGCUGCAGUCCAUGGGGUCGCUAAGAGUCGGAUACGACUGAGCGACUUCACUUUCACUUUUCACUUUCAUGCAUUGGAGAAGGAAAUGGCAACCCACUCCAGUGUUCUUGCCUGGAGAAUCCAAGGGACGGGGGAGCCUGGUGGGCUGCCGUCUAUGGGGUUGCACAGAGAUGGACACGACUGAAGUGACUUAGCAGCAGCAGCAGCAUAUAGGCUCUGCAUUAAUGAAAAUGAAGUCAGGUGGGAAUGGAAUCCCAGGUUAACAUAAGGGACUGUAGCUGCAUUUAAGCACCAUAUCAGUCCCUUGUAUCCUCUUUCACAAUGCAAACUGAGUAGCAGGGCAUGGGAAUCUAGAUCAACAGAUGAGACUAUAUAGGCAGGUAAAUGCAUUAACAGCCCCAAGUACCCUCUGCAGUCAUGAAAAGGGAGUUAGAUAGGAAUGGGAUCCUAGAUUAAUAGAAAAGACUGUAGCUGGAUUUAAGCACAUUAACAGUCGAAGUUACUUUAUAUGGUAAUACAAAUCCAGUAAGAACGAAAAUGAUUCUAGAUUAACAAAAGGGACUGUGGCUGCAAUAAAGCACAUUAACAGUUCCAAGUACCCUCUGCAGUAAAAAAGGGAGUUAGGUGGGAAUAGGGUCCUAGGUAAACGUAAGAGAUUGUAGCUGCUUUUAAGCACAGUACCAGUCCUUUUACCUUCUGUGGUAGUGCAAGGGAGUCAGGUGGGAAUGGGGGUAUAGGUAAACAUAGACUGUGGAUGCAUUUAAGCACAGUAACAACCUCUUCAAACACUCUGGGAUAAUGUCAAUCCACUAGGAGGGAUGGGCUCCUAGAAUAAUAGAAGGAAUGGCAGUGCAAUUAAGUACACUGACAAGUCCCAUAUAGGCUCUGCAGUAAUGAAAAGGGAGUUAGGUGGGAAUGAGAUCUAGGUUAACAUAAGGGACUAUAGCUACAUUUAAGUACAUAAACAGUCCCUUGUAUCCUUUUAUAAUGCAAAUUUACUAGGAGGGCAUUGAAAUCUAAACUAACAGAGGAGACUGUAUAGGCAGGAAGUGCAUCAACAGUCCCAAGCACCUUCUGCAGUGGUAAAAAGGGAAUUAGGUAGGAAUGGGAUCCAAGGUUAAUAUAAGGGCCUGGAUCUGCAGUUAUGUACACUGAAAGUCCCUGGGAGCCUCUGGGAUGCUGCAAAGGGAAUUAGGUGGGAAUGGGAUCCCACCUUACUAAAAGGGACUGUAGCUGCAUUUAAGCAAUGUAACAGUCCUUUAUACCCUCUUUUAUGAUGCAAACUGAGUAGCAGAGAAUGGGAAUCUAGACCAACAGAUGAGACUGUUUAAGCAGAUAAGUGCAAUAACAGUCCCAAGUACCCUCUGAAGUCAUGAAAACUAGUUAGAUGGAGACAGAAUCCUAGGUUAGCACAAAGGACUGUAGCUCCAUUUAAGCACCUUAGCAAUCCCAGUUCCUCUAUGUAGUAAUACAAAUCCAGCAAGAAGGAAACUGAUUUUAGAUUAACAGAAGGAACUAUGCUGCCGUUAAGCCCAUUAAUAGUCUCAAGUAACUUCUGCAGCCAUUAUAAGGGUGUUGGGUGGGAUAGGGUCCUAGGUAAACAAAAGGGACUGUAGUUGCUUUUAAGCACAGUACCAGUACCUUUUACUUUCUGUGGUAGUGCAAGGGAGUCACUCACUGACUGUUGGGAAUGGGGUCACAGGGAAACAACAGACUGUGGAUGCAUUUAUGCACAGUAACAGUCUCUUGUACACUCUGGGGCAAUGCAAACUGAGUAGGAGAAAUGGGAUUCUAGACUAACAGAAUAGACAGUAGUGUAAUUAAAUCUAUUAAUAAGUCCCUGUAGGCUCUGCAGCAAUAAAAAAGGGAGUCAGGUGGGAAUGGGAUUCUAGGUUAACAUAAGGGACUGUAGAGGCAUUUAAGCAUAUUAGCAAUCCCAGUUACUCUAUGUGGUACUAAAAACCGAGUAAGAAAGAAAUUCACGCUAGGUUAAUAGAAGGGACAGUAGCUGCAGUUAAGCCCAUCAAUAGUCCCAAGUACAUUCUACAGUCAUUAAAACGGAGUUGGGUGGGAUAGCCUCCUAGCUAAACAUAAGCGACUGCAGUUGUUUUCAAGCACAGUAAAGUCCCUUCCACUUUCUGUGAUAGUGCAACACAGUCACUAACUAUUGGGAAUGGGGUCAUAAAUAAACAUAACAGACUGGAUGAAUUUAAGCACAGUAACAGUCUCUUCUACACUCUGGGGAAAUUGAGUAGGAGAGAUGGGAUUCUAGACAUAACAAAAGGACAGAAGUGGAUUUAAGCCCAUUAACAAGUCCCUGUAGGCUCUUCAGUAAUACAAAGGGACUUAGGUGGGAAUGGGAUCCUACAUUAAAACAAGGACUGUAGCUGGAUUUAAGCACAUUAACAGUCCCAGUUACUUUAUGUGGUAACACAAAUCCAGUAAGAACGAAAAUGAUUCUAGACUAACAAAAGGGACUGUGGCUGCAGUAAAGCACAUUAACAGUCGCUUAUACCCUCUUUUGGAGAAGGCAAUGGCAACCCACUCCAGUACCCUUCCCUGGAAAACCUCAUGGACAGAGGAGCCUGGUAGGCUGCCCUCUAUGGAGUCCCUAGGAGUCAGACACGACUGAGUGACUUCACUUUCACUUUUCACUUUCAUGCAUUGGAAAAGGAAAUGGCAACCCACUCCAGUGUUCUUCCCUGGAGAAUCCCAGGGCUGGGGGAGCCUGGUGGGCUGCUGUCUCUGGGAUCACACAGAGUUGGACACGACUGAAGUGACUUAGCAGCAUACCCUCCUUUAUAAUGCAAAUUAGUAGGAGAUCUUGGGAAAGUAGGCCAACAGAUGAGGCUGUAUAGGCAGGUAAGUGCAUUACCAGUCCCAAACACCCUCUGCAGUCCUGAAAUAGUUAGCUGGGGACAGAAUCCUGUGUUAACAUAAGAGAUUGUAGCUGCUUUUAAGCACAUUAACAGUCUAUGUAUCCUGUGUUAAUGCAAACCACGUAGGAGUGGAUGGAAAUCUAGACUCAGAGAAGGAACCAGCUACUUUCAAGAACAGGAACCGUCCCAGGUAAUCUGCAGUCAGGAAAAGGGAGUUAGGUGGGGGAUGGGAUCCUAGGACAUUGCAUUUAAGCACAUUAACAGUCCCUUGUAUCCCCCUUGGUAAUGCAAAUGGAGUAGGAGGGCAUGGGAAUCUCAACAGAAGAGACUGUAGCUCUAAUUGACUCCAUUAACUAUUCCAAGUAACCUCUGCAGUCAUGCAACGAACACAGGUAAGUAUAAAAGACUGUAAAUGCAUUUAAGCACCUUAACAGUCUUGGUUACUCUAUGUGGUACUACAAAUCCAGUAAGAAAGAAACUGACCCUAGGUUAAGAGAAGGGACUGAAGUUCCAGUUAAGCCCAAGUACCCUCUCAUUACAAAAGACUUAGGUGGGAAUAGGGUCAGUCCCAGGUAAACAUAACAGACUGUGGAUGCAUUUAAGCACAGCAAGUCUCUUGUACACUCUGGGGUAAUGCAAAUUGACUAGGAGAAAUGGGGUUCUAGACUCAACAGAAAGGACAGCAGUGCAUUUAAGCCCAUUAACAAGUCCCUGUAGGCUCUUCAGUAAUACAAAGGGAGUUAGGUGACGAUGGGAUCCUAGAUUAAUAGAAAGGAGUGUAGCUGGAUUUAAGCACAUUAACAGUCCCAGUUACUUUAUGUGGUAACACAAAUCCAGUAGGAAUAAAAAUGAUUCUAAAUUAACAAAAGGGACUGUGGCUGCAGUAAAGCACAUUAACAGUCCCUUAUACCCUCCUUUAUAAUGCAAAUUAGUAGGAGAUCUUGGGAAAGUAGGCCAACAGAUGAAACUGUAUAGGCAGGUAAGUGCAUUACCAGUCCCAAACACCCUCUGCAGUCGUGAAAUAGUUAGCUGGGGACAGAAUCCUGUUUUAAUAGAAGAGAUUGUAGCUGCUUUUAAGCACAUUAACAGUCUAUGUAUCCUGUGUUAAUGCAAACCAUGCAGGAGUGGAUGGAAAUCUAGACUAAGAGAAGGAACUAGCUACUUUUAAGUACAGGAACCGUCCCAGGUAAUCUGCAGUCAGGAAAAGGGAGUUAGGUGGGGGAUGGGAUCCUAGGACAUUGCAUUUAAGCACAUUAACAGUCCCUUGUAUCCCCCUUGGUAAUGCAAAUGGAGUAGGAGGGCAUGGGAAUCUCAACAGAAGAGACUGUAGCUCUAAUUGACUCCAUUAACUAUUCCAAGUAACCUCUGCAGUCAUGCAACGAACACAGGUAAGUAGGUAAGUAUAAAAGACUGUAAAUGCAUUUAAGCACCUUAACAGUCUUGGUUACUCUAUGUGGUACUACAAAUUCAGUAAGAAAGAAACUGACCCUAGGUUAAGAGAAGGGACUGAAACUCCAGUUAAGCUCAAGUACCCUCUCAUUAAAAAAGACUUAGGUGGGAAUAGGGUCAGUCCCAGGUAAACAUAACAGACAGAUGCAUGCAGAUGCAUUUAAGCACAGCAAGUCUCUUGUACACUCUGGGGUAAUGCAAAUUGACUAGGAGAAAUGGGGUUCUAGACUCAACAGAAAGGACAGCAGUGCAUUUAAGCCCAUUAACAAGUCCCUGUAGGCUCUUCAGUAAUACAAAGGGAGUUAGGUGACGAUGGGAUCCUAGGUUAAUAGAAAGGAGUGUAGCUGGAUUUAAGCACGUUAACAGUCCCAGUUACUUUAUGUGGUAACACAAAUCCGGUAGGAACAAAAAUGAUUUUAAAUUAACAAAAGGGACUGUGGCUGCAGUAAAGCACAUUAACAGUCCCUUAUACCCUCCUUUAUAAUGCAAAUUAGUAGGAGAUCUUGGGAAAGUAGGCCAACAGAUGAGACUGUAUAGGCAGGUAAGUGCAUUACCAGUCCCAAACACCCUCUGCAGUCCUGAAAUAGUUAGCUGGGGACAGAAUCCUGUUUUAAUAGAAGAGAUUGUAGCUGCUUUUAAGCACAUUAACAGUCUAUGUAUCCUGUGUUACUGCAAACCACGUAGGAGUGGAUGGAAAUCUAGACUCAGAGAAGGAACUAGCUACUUUUAAGAACAGGAACCGUCCCAGGUAAUCUGCAGUCAGGAAAAGGGAGUUAGGUGGGGGAUGGGAUCCUAGGUUUAAAAAGUGGGGAGGAGGACUGUAGUUGCAUCUAAGCACAUUGACAGUCCUUUGUGUAGUCUUUGGUAAUGUAAACGGAUUUAGGAGGGGAUGGGGUCCAAGGCUAGUGGUAAAGAACCCACUUGCCAAUGCAGAUCUAAGAGAUGCAGGUUUGAUCCCUGGGUGGGAAAGAGCCCCUGAAGGAGAGCAUGGCAACCCCCUUAAGUAUUCUUGCCUGGAGAAUCCUAUGGACAAAGGAGCCUGGCAGGCUACAGUACAUGGGGUCACCAGAGUCGGACACCACUGCACACAUGGACUACCCACCAAAGAUAAGGGACAGCAGUAUAGUUAAAGCCAUUAACAAGUCAUAUGUAGGCUCUGCAGUAAUGAAAGGGAGAUAGUUGGUGAUGGAAUCCUAGGUUAACAUAAGGACUGCAGUAGCCUUUAAGCACAUUAACAGUCCCUGAACCCUCUGUGGUAAUGCAAAUUCAGUAAGAAAGGAACUGAUUGCAGUUUAACUGAAGGAAUGGUAACUGUAAUAAAGCCCAUUACAAGUCCAUUGUCCCCCUUUUCGUAAUGCAAAUAAAGUAGGAGGGCAUGGGAGUCUUUACUGAGGGGACUGUAACUCUAACAGAGCCUUUUGACAGUCCCUAGUAUCCACUGCAGUCUUACAAAGAGAUUUAGUUGGGAAUGGGAUCAUAGGUAAACAUAGAGACUGCAGAUGCAUUUAAAAGCAUGUCAACAGUCUCUGGUACACUCUAGAGUAAUGCAAACUGAGUAGAGUGAUGGAAUUCUAGACUAACAAAAGGGACAGUAGUGCAAUUAAGCUCAGGAAUAAGUCCCACAUACGCUGUGCAUUAAUAAAAAGAGAGUUAGGUGUUAAUGGAAUCGUAGGUUAACUUAAAGGACUGUAACUCCACUUAAGCACAUUAACAGUCCCUUGUACCCUUUGUGGUAAUGCAAAUCAAGCAGGAAGGGAACAGAUUCUAGACUAACAAAAGGAACUGUAGCUGCAAUAUAGUUCUUUAACAGUCCCAAGUACCCUAUGCACUCAUACAGAGAGGUGAGGAUGGGUUUCUAGGUUAACAUAAGGGACUGUAGCUGUAUAAACCCAUUAUCAUUCCUUUGUACUGCCUGUGGUAAUGCAAAUCAUUCAGUAGGGGAGUGGAUAUUAAACCAGCCAAAGGGUCUCUAUAAUCAAGCCCAUUAACUGCCCCAAGUAUCCUCUGCUGUAAUGCAAAGGCAGUUAGUUGGGGAUGGGCUUCUAGUUAAAAGGAAAGAGUCCCUAGGGAUUCCAGUUUUGCAAGUGAACAAUUUUAGGAAAUGGCCUUACUUAAUCAGCACCCUUUCAGCAGUAAAGAUGAUGCAGAGUUCCUGAUACAAAAACCCGAGGUGUAAUCAAUUAGGUUUGUGCAUAUAAACUGUUCUAGUUCAGACUUCUUAAGUAGUAAGGGUGCCCUGGUCAAAGACAAAGUGGGCCAGUGUGACUAGUUUACAGGACAGGGACAAAAGCAAUUAUGGACAUUAUAAAUUCAAGAGGAGGGCCCUUGAGAGUUCAACCCAUGUAGCUUGCAAAUAGGAUAGCAAUGGCCCAUUAAAACAGACAGGACUCUGGACAACUGCAACUAUGCAAAUUAACUGUCCAAGAGCUGAGUUCUUGAAUAAUCUGCAUGACCCAGCAAUAUUCCACCAAGUGUGGGGUUUCAUUUUUUAUUGCAUGGGACCAUGGAUACACACAAUUAUGCACAUCAAUUUUUUAAUAAGAGAAGGGACUUUGGGUAAUCAGAACUCAGAAGAAAUGGCCAUCGAGAUAAGAGCUAUCCUAGACUAAUGGAUAGGAUCAUGGGAAAUGAGAAUUUUAUAUAUUAACCCAAGGUGGCAGGUAGUCCGAACUACAUAGGGGCAAUGAAAAGAGCAUGGGUGGAUCUUACCUGUUAAGCAGGACCGUGAUCAACAAUAACUGAAUCCAUUAAUAUUCCAAAGUAAGUGACUUUUAAGAUGAGCACUUCUGCUACAGUGCAAAAAAGUUGCAAAGGACCUAUGUAAUGAACAAUUGGGAUUCUACACAUUAAUAAUUCAAGGAACAUGGUCUCAGGUAAUCAGCAAUGCCUAAGAGCAAUGCAAAUAGGAUGGAGGAUCAUUGGUUAAUGGGGGAAACAGAAAUUACAAUUUGGUACUUUAAUUGUACAAGAACAGGACUCCCCAGAAGCAGGACAAAACUGGUAGGAUGCCUGUGUUUAAUGGACAAGGCUAUGACAACUGGGACUGAGCACAUUAAAAAAAAAUUGGGGUUUUUUGUGCCCUUUGCUGAAUGCAAGAGGGUUUUGGACUGGAAUCUAAUCCAAUAGGCAGGGUUAUGGGCAAUUGCAACUUCACUCAGUACGAAGAGUUUAGGUGGUCAGCUCAGUAAAUAUGCACCGUCCAGAAAACUAGGAUUGUGAGGACUGCAGCAAUGACAGAGGAAUGGUUUCUCCGUUAUUGACAUGGGAUUGAGAAGAUUAUGAGUAACUAGACUCAUGGGCAAUAAUUGUCUGAUAUGAAGCUCUCAGUUAGUUAAUGUUUCUUAACAUUAAUGCAAAGGAUGAAUGGAUUCUUUUUUUUAACAUGGGCCAAGGGACAAAUGGGAUUCUGUAGAUUAACUGAAAAUGGUGACUUGGAUAGCCAGCACUCAAGAUCAGGAAUGCUAGAGGUAGAGAGGGUAUCCCAGUCUAAUGGAUGAGCAAUGGACAACUUAUUUUUUUCACUGAAUCAACAGAAAUUGCACUGGCUUUAAGCAGAAACAGGACUGAGGCUG